rnacentral:rRNA from 1 species
UACGUAGGGUGCAAGCGUUGUUCGGAAUUACUGGGCGUAAAGCGCACGUAGGCGGAUUUGUAAGUCAGGGGUGAAAUCCCGGGGCUCAACCUCGGAACUGCCUUUGAUACUGCAAAUCUCGAGUCCGGAAGAGGUGAGUGGAAUUCCUAGUGUAGAGGUGAAAUUCGUAGAUAUUAGGAAGAACACCAGUGGCGAAGGCGGCUCACUGGUCCGGUACUGACGCUGAGGUGCGAAAGCGUGGGGAGCAAACAGG